GGGUUGUGAGGUUAAGCGACUAAGCGUACACGGUGGAUGCCCUGGCAGUCAGAGGCGAUGAAGGACGUGCUAAUCUGCGAUAAGCGUCGGUAAGGUGAUAUGAACCGUUAUAACCGGCGAUUUCCGAAUGGGGAAACCCAGUGUGUUUCGACACACUAUCAUUAACUGAAUCCAUAGGUUAAUGAGGCGAACCGGGGGAACUGAAACAUCUAAGUACCCCGAGGAAAAGAAAUCAACCGAGAUUCCCCCAGUAGCGGCGAGCGAACGGGGAGCAGCCCAGAGCCUGAAUCAGUGUGUGUGUUAGUGGAAGCGUCUGGAAAGGCGCGCGAUACAGGGUGACAGCCCCGUACACAAAAAUGCACAUGCUGUGAGCUCGAUGAGUAGGGCGGGACACGUGGUAUCCUGUCUGAAUAUGGGGGGACCAUCCUCCAAGGCUAAAUACUCCUGACUGACCGAUAGUGAACCAGUACCGUGAGGGAAAGGCGAAAAGAACCCCGGCGAGGGGAGUGAAAAAGAACCUGAAACCGUGUACGUACAAGCAGUGGGAGCACGCUUAGGCGUGUGACUGCGUACCUUUUGUAUAAUGGGUCAGCGACUUAUAUUCUGUAGCAAGGUUAACCGAAUAGGGGAGCCGAAGGGAAACCGAGUCUUAACUGGGCGUUAAGUUGCAGGGUAUAGACCCGAAACCCGGUGAUCUAGCCAUGGGCAGGUUGAAGGUUGGGUAACACUAACUGGAGGACCGAACCGACUAAUGUUGAAAAAUUAGCGGAUGACUUGUGGCUGGGGGUGAAAGGCCAAUCAAACCGGGAGAUAGCUGGUUCUCCCCGAAAGCUAUUUAGGUAGCGCCUCGUGAAUUCAUCUCCGGGGGUAGAGCACUGUUUCGGCAAGGGGGUCAUCCCGACUUACCAACCCGAUGCAAACUGCGAAUACCGGAGAAUGUUAUCACGGGAGACACACGGCGGGUGCUAACGUCCGUCGUGAAGAGGGAAACAACCCAGACCGCCAGCUAAGGUCCCAAAGUCAUGGUUAAGUGGGAAACGAUGUGGGAAGGCCCAGACAGCCAGGAUGUUGGCUUAGAAGCAGCCAUCAUUUAAAGAAAGCGUAAUAGCUCACUGGUCGAGUCGGCCUGCGCGGAAGAUGUAACGGGGCUAAACCAUGCACCGAAGCUGCGGCAGCGACGCUGAUGCGUUGUUGGGUAGGGGAGCGUUCUGUAAGCCUGCGAAGGUGUGCUGUGAGGCAUGCUGGAGGUAUCAGAAGUGCGAAUGCUGACAUAAGUAACGAUAAAGCGGGUGAAAAGCCCGCUCGCCGGAAGACCAAGGGUUCCUGUCCAACGUUAAUCGGGGCAGGGUGAGUCGACCCCUAAGGCGAGGCCGAAAGGCGUAGUCGAUGGGAAACAGGUUAAUAUUCCUGUACUUGGUGUUACUGCGAAGGGGGGACGGAGAAGGCUAUGUUGGCCGGGCGACGGUUGUCCCGGUUUAAGCGUGUAGGCUGGUUUUCCAGGCAAAUCCGGAAAAUCAAGGCUGAGGCGUGAUGACGAGGCACUACGGUGCUGAAGCAACAAAUGCCCUGCUUCCAGGAAAAGCCUCUAAGCAUCAGGUAACAUCAAAUCGUACCCCAAACCGACACAGGUGGUCAGGUAGAGAAUACCAAGGCGCUUGAGAGAACUCGGGUGAAGGAACUAGGCAAAAUGGUGCCGUAACUUCGGGAGAAGGCACGCUGAUAUGUAGGUGAGGUCCCUCGCGGAUGGAGCUGAAAUCAGUCGAAGAUACCAGCUGGCUGCAACUGUUUAUUAAAAACACAGCACUGUGCAAACACGAAAGUGGACGUAUACGGUGUGACGCCUGCCCGGUGCCGGAAGGUUAAUUGAUGGGGUUAGCGCAAGCGAAGCUCUUGAUCGAAGCCCCGGUAAACGGCGGCCGUAACUAUAACGGUCCUAAGGUAGCGAAAUUCCUUGUCGGGUAAGUUCCGACCUGCACGAAUGGCGUAAUGAUGGCCAGGCUGUCUCCACCCGAGACUCAGUGAAAUUGAACUCGCUGUGAAGAUGCAGUGUACCCGCGGCAAGACGGAAAGACCCCGUGAACCUUUACUAUAGCUUGACACUGAACAUUGAGCCUUGAUGUGUAGGAUAGGUGGGAGGCUUAGAAGUGUGGACGCCAGUCUGCAUGGAGCCGACCUUGAAAUACCACCCUUUAAUGUUUGAUGUUCUAACGUGGACCCGUAAUCCGGGUUGCGGACAGUGUCUGGUGGGUAGUUUGACUGGGGCGGUCUCCUCCUAAAGAGUAACGGAGGAGCACGAAGGUUGGCUAAUCCUGGUCGGACAUCAGGAGGUUAGUGCAAUGGCAUAAGCCAGCUUGACUGCGAGCGUGACGGCGCGAGCAGGUGCGAAAGCAGGUCAUAGUGAUCCGGUGGUUCUGAAUGGAAGGGCCAUCGCUCAACGGAUAAAAGGUACUCCGGGGAUAACAGGCUGAUACCGCCCAAGAGUUCAUAUCGACGGCGGUGUUUGGCACCUCGAUGUCGGCUCAUCACAUCCUGGGGCUGAAGUAGGUCCCAAGGGUAUGGCUGUUCGCCAUUUAAAGUGGUACGCGAGCUGGGUUUAGAACGUCGUGAGACAGUUCGGUCCCUAUCUGCCGUGGGCGCUGGAGAACUGAGGGGGGCUGCUCCUAGUACGAGAGGACCGGAGUGGACGCAUCACUGGUGUUCGGGUUGUCAUGCCAAUGGCACUGCCCGGUAGCUAAAUGCGGAAGAGAUAAGUGCUGAAAGCAUCUAAGCACGAAACUUGCCCCGAGAUGAGUUCUCCCUGACCCUUUAAGGGUCCUGAAGGAACGUUGAAGACGACGACGUUGAUAGGCCGGGUGUGUAAGCGCAGCGAUGCGUUGAGCUAACCGGUACUAAUGAACCGUGAGGCUUAACCUUACAACGCCGAAG
rnacentral:rRNA from 1 species